rnacentral:rRNA from 1 species
AUGGUGCGGCGGCGGCGGCAUCCUCGUGGUGGACCUGUGUCCUCGGGCUCCGCCGUAGCGAUGGCGUUUGCUCCAGCGCCGGCGUGGAGCUUGGGAGGUAGUCCAGGGGCGGAUGCAGAUUGUGGUCUGCAUCAACGGCAUCUGGAAGAUAGUGGAUCUGGGUUCAUGGCAGGCAGGUAUGGUUUCCUCCUCCAACGUCUUAGUUGGGCGAGGGUGCCAGAUCUGAAAUUCGAUGGCGUGUCCGGGGUGUUGCCCCGGUCUGAUUCGUUCAACGGCAAUGACUUCGUCUUUAUUGGCGAGCCACCUUGGAGGUCCGCAAAGCUGCAUAUCAGCGAUGGAGCCGCGUCGAGCUCGGGUGUGGAGGUGAUCCGUCAUUUUCACCUUUGGUGGCUGCUAUGA